AACAGAAUGUAGAGGAGGGGUCAGCUCAUAAAAGGGAAGAAAUUUUCCUUAUUGGGAAAUUGAAACUUAAGUGGGAAAGGGGACCACAGUAUAACCUUAUAAGGGGGAUAAUGAAACUUAGGUGACAUCCCAGAAGAUUGUAGCCCCAUAGUACUCAACCAGUGAGGAACUGGGGGAGGAACUUGCAUGCUAGGAGAUAAAUUACCACUUGUGACUGUCCCAGGUGUGCCUUCCACCAGAGACCCAGUCUUGCAAGGCAGUUAUUAAAAAGUCUCACUUUCGCUGUUGUCCGUACCUCUAAGUCCAUUCUUUGGGUUUGGACACGUGAGUGUGUUUCUCACAAACCUGGGGGCCUGUCCGGGAUCUCUGUGCCUGUGUGGAGUGGGACUCCAGCUGAGAGGGGAGACGCGUCCCACCCGAUUUAGGUGGCCUACUCUGUCUGGGCAGUACAAGCUCCCCACAAAAGCCAUAGAUCAACUGGAGACUGUUACUCAGGAGACACUGGAGGUGACACAGGGAGAAAAGCAGGCACCGUGGCAACGAAGGCAACCUCUUGCAUCAGCCAAGGUUAAAAGGACUUCUGACUCAAACUCCACUUCUAGAGUUCAGGUUCAGCACUUCCAGCCCGGCGACUUGGUGCUGAUUAAGACUUGGGAAGAAGACAAGCUCCACCCAAACUGGGAAGGUCCCUACCAAGCGCUCCUGACCACUGAGACAGCUGUGUGAACAGUGGAACGGGGAUGGAAGAAUUGUCUGAAGAGGAUGAGUGAUCACCUUCCAGGUGGAGGGAAGGGGUCUCAUUAUGUUGCCCAGGCUGGACUCAGUGACUCAAAUGUCUGUGCUCAAGGGAUCCUCCUGCCUCAGCAUCUCAAGAAGCUAUGACUACAGGUGCAUGUCACCCAUCCAGCUCAAUCACACAUCAGACCGCUAAAAAUAAGGAUACUAGUCUCAAAGCUAAAUUUUAUUGUUGUCAAAAUUUUCAACAUCAGUACUAAAAACCUAGAGGAAUAUAGAUGAGCAUUUAAAAAAUUCUGUCCAGCUAAUUCUCUCCAGUGUUCAUUUAAAUAUCAUGCAAAAAAGCUAGUUUUAUAAAAGUAAAAUCUGCAUUCACGGUGGGGGGGAAUGCAAGCUUAAUGGAAAAAAAAACCCAAAAUGAAGGAAAUUAUGUGCUACGAGAUUGAAGAAACAAUGGAUCUCACCCAGCAGGGCUUUGAAAAUAAAUGUUGAGAUCACAUUUUACAACAGACUGGUACAAUCAAUCUAAUAAUCAAUGGUUAAUAAUUAGCAGAAUUAAGAGAUUUUAUGACAUAAGAGAUGUAGUAAAGAAAGAUUUACACUUUUUGAUUGACAAUAGAAAUGAAAAAUUUUAGAAAAAAAUAUAGUCAUGUAACUUAUGGUCCAAAUAUGAAUUAAACUAGAAGGUAACGUGACUUUAUUCAGUUAAUGUAGUAUUCAAAAAGUGAUUCCAAUUAGUCUUGGGUGUUGGACCAACUUCCUUCAAAGGAGUAAGUUUUAGAGAAAGUAGAUUUCAUAUCCCAUACAAAUUCAAUAAUAUCCCUGUUUAAAAGGUUAUAUUUACAUCACUGUAUUAUAAUAGAAAGUGUUUAUGACAUUUUAUUUUUCAGAGUCAACCAAAAACAGCAUGAAAUAAUUAUAGCUAUAUAAAGAAAGGUAAAUGUUAUAAAUGUUGACAUGGUAAAAGAAACAAUGUAGUUGUCAAACUGAGAGGAAGAGGGAAGGAAAUGUACAGAGAAAUAGUUGUACACGUUUUAGAAUUUCAUCUAAUGAGCAAAGAUAUAUUAUCUAAAUCUGGUGGAUCAAGAUUACAUUUGAACAUAGUAUUCAGAUUUAUAAGAGUGAAAAAAGUAAAUAAAAAACAAAGAUAAAUCUAAAAAAAAAAAAGAAGGGAAUGGGAAGGUAGAAAGACAAGAUUGUGUAAAUUACACACCUAUCUUCUCUCUCACAGCAGAAAGUAAAACAAUAGGGUUUAUGUUGAUAAAUAGAAUACAUAAAUGAUAAAUGUAUACAAACAUACUACUUACAAUUACAGAGGUGACCAUUAGAAGAAGUGAGAAUAGAAACUGUCAAAUCCAAGGAAUAGAAUAGGAGAUUAAGAGAGGCUUUUUCAGUAUUUUUUAAUGCUUAUAUCAAUUGCGGAACUUACAAAUGAAAACGGGGAAGACAAGUAUGAAUCUAAUCAUAGAUCCAUAAGUAACUAAAAUGAAUAAAUACUAUAUUGAUACUUUAAGUGAAUUUAGGUACUCUAUCCUUUAAGCAAUGAAAUCUAUUUUAUGCAUAGUGAACAGUCAUUUUUAAAAACCUAUAAUGUUAUUUUGUCAUUGAUAACUAAAUCACCAGCUAAUCACUAGCUACUGAAAGUUGCCAUAUAGGGUUAAAUGGAAAAUUGCAUACUUCUUUAGACUAGAAUUACAUUUGUGAAAAUACAGAACCAUGUUGGACAAAGGUCCACAGAAGUGUGCAUGGGAGAGUUAAACAGCAUUACUGAGAUGGCUACAGUCAGCAGGGGUGUUUGAUUCUGGGACAAAGCAAUUAUACAUGGAAUAAAUGUUUGCUGUAUCUUGGGAAAUACUUUCUAGGUAUGAGUCAGUCUAGAAGUUGCUUUCUCUCUGACAAAACUAGGUCAGUCUUUAUAACUCUGCUCCUAGCUUUGGAGCACAAAGAUGAAAUUGUUCUUUUGCGGUCAAAGGCAGUUGUGACAGGCAUAAUUUUAUCAAAUUUGGAACAGAAAAACAUUCCUCUUUAAAUUUCCAGAUGGGAUGAGAUUGUGGAGCAGAUAAUAGUGGGAAAAAAGUAUAUAAACAGAACUUCAGAAAUUCAGAUAAUGAAGAACCCAUAUAUAGCACCAGAUAUUCUUAUAACUAUAGGCAAAUAAAUUGAGAAAUCUCGGUAAAAAAUAAUUAACUUUGAAAAGGAAGUGAUUUCUGAUAAGGACAUUGUUUUGAGACAAAUACAUGCUUCAAAAUUUAGGAUUAGGAAACAAAAGAGAAAUAUAAACAUCAGCUGCAAAUAGAACUGUGAUGUGUCCUUUGAUCACAUUCAGAAUUCCCAAGUGAGGCCCAAAGAGUUAACAUAAGAAUCACAUUGCAAUUAGACCUGGAUAUUAAUUUUAGGCAUAAAUGGAAGUUUAUAAAUAUAUGCAUAUAUAUGUGUGUGUGAGAGAGUCUGCCUGUGUAUGUAUUCUGAUACUAAAUUAUAUCUUUUUCAUUGCUUAGUGUUGAUGCCGUCACUCUUAAGUGAUUUCUACAUACAUAUUUGAUUUUAUGAAAGUGAAUUUCAAGUUAGUGAAAUAUAUAUGCUUAUGGGUAUAGAGAGUAAGAAAAUAAUUUAAAUUGAUAUUUUAAGUGGAUUCUAUAUAUGAAGGUGUGCAGCAGCUUUUUUAUUAUUAUUAUACUUUAAGUUCUGGGAUACAUGUGCAGAACAUGAAGGUUUGUUACACAGGUAUUCACGUGCCAUGGUGGUUUGCUGCACUCAUCAACCCGUCAUCUACAUUAUGUAUUUCUCCUAAUGCUAUCCCUCCCCUAGCCCCCCACCCCCUGACAUGCCCCGGUGGAUGAUAUUCUCCUCUGUGUACAUGUGUUCUCGUUGUUCAACUCCCACUUAUCAGUGAGAACAUGCGGUGUUUGGUUUUCUGUUCCUGUGUUAGUUUGCUGAGAAUGAUGGUUUCCAGCUUCAUCCAUAUCCCUGCAAAGGACAUGAACUCAUCCUUUUUAUGGCUGCAGAGUAUUCCAUCGUGUAUACAUGCCACAUUUUCUUUAUCCAGUCUAUCAUUGUGAACAGUGCUGCAAUAAACAUACAUGUACAUGUGUUUUUAUAGUAGAAUGAUAUAUAAUCAUUUGGGUAUACACCCAGUAAUGGGAUUGCUGGGUCAAAUGGUAUUUCUGGUUCUAGAUCCUUGAGGAAUUGCCACACUGUCUUCCACAAUGGUUGAACUAAUUUACACUCCCACCAACAGUGUAAAAGCGUUCCUCUUUCUCCACAUUCUCUUCAGUAUCUGUUGUUUCCUGACUGUUUAAUGAUCGUCAUUCUAACUGAAGUGAGAUGGUAUCUUAUUGUGGUUUUGAUUUGCAUUUCUCUAAUGACCAGUGAUGAUGAGCUUUUUUUCAUGUUUCCUGUCUGCAUCAAUGUCUUCUUUUGAGAAGUGCAGCAGCUUUUUCAGAAUGGUGCCUGCGACAGGUAGAAUAAUAUCCUUUAAAGAUGUCAACAUUUAAUCCCCCAAACCUGAGAAUAUGUUACCUCAAAUAACAAAAGGAAUCUUGCACAUAAAAUUGAGGUGGCAUACCUUAAAAUAGGCAAAAUAUUCUGGGUUAUCCAGAUGGACCUAAUGAGGUCCAAUUCAGGCUUUUCCAAGUAGAAGAGGAAGACAGUAGCGUGGGGCAGAGCAUGUGAGAGAAGAGACAGGAAAGAUUCAAAGCAUGAGAGAGAUCCAGCCUUCUGGUGCUGGUUCCGAAGAUGGAGCAAAGGGCCAUGAGCUGAGAAGGGUGGGCAGCGUCUAAAAUUUGAGAGCAAACCUCAGCUGACAGUGAACAAGGAAACAGAGACUUCAGUCCUGUAGUUGCAAGGAACUGAAUUCUGCCAAAAAUGCAGAUAAGAAAACAAAAACAAAAAAACAGAUUCUCCCCUACAGCUACCAGAAAGUAACUUUACCUUGCCAGCACCUAAAUGUUAGCCCAGUAAUACCUGUGCUGGGAUUCUGAAAUACAGAACUAUAAGAUAAUGAAUUUGUGUUAUGUUAAGGUGUUUAAAAUUUGUGAUAAUUUCUUAUGACAUUAAUAGAAAACUAAUAAUCUCCAAACCAUUAAUUUACUAUAAUUAUAUUUCUUAUUAUUUGCUUACUCUAGGCUUAUUAUGUGAGCAGCACCAGCAAGGGACUUCCAUAUAAGUUGUACCUUUACAAAAUUCUGUGUUUUGAUGUUAUUAUGUCCAUUUUACAGAUAAGAAAACAAAUCUAGAGAGGAAAAGUAACUUUCUAAAAGCAACACAACUAGUGAACUCCAUGACUAGUACUCAAAAAUAGGGCUUGAAAUCAGAUUGUUUGAAAUCACUGUGACAUAUUUAUAUAUUUAUGUGCAUGUAUGCCCACACACACCUCCAUAUACCUACUGCAUCUCCAUAAAUGCAUUUUAAAAUGUCUAAGUAAAUAACAUAAUGCUUCAUGGAACAUGGAUCAGCUAUUUUAUUACCUAUUUGCAUAGAAAUUUACCUUGCAAUAAAUGUUUAAAGAAAUGCAAAUUUCCUUGCUUAUUCCUUUAAACAUAUUUGCCCUUAAAAAUUAGUAAACAUUUUUACUGAGCUUAGAAGAUUAAACAUUUACUAUAUAAAAUUUAAAGCUAUCUCAAAUUCAAAGUAAUUUUAGUAUGUAAAUAUGAUAGGUGCAUUUGAUUAUAUGUAACAUGACUCAAAAUUAAAUGAAGUUUGACAUUCAGUAAUAAACUGUGAAUAAAAGUAUUUAUGGAUCAAAAAGUCAUACAAAUAACAGAGGGAAUUAAACAAACUUCACAUGCACAUACACUCAGUUUGGAUCUUAAACAAAUGUUGCAUUAAUAUUUGUUACCUAAUUUUUUUAAGUUUAUAUUUGAUAUGGUUAGGCUUUGUGACCCCACCCAAAUCUUAUCUUGAAUUAUAAUCCCCGAAAUCUUCAGGAGUUGAGGAAGGAGCCUGUUGGGAGAUAACUGGAUCAUGGGGAUGGUUUCCCUCAUGCUGUUCUCAUGACAGUGAGUUAUCACAAGAUCUGAUGGUUUUAUAAGUGUUUGGCAAGUUCUUCCUUCACUACUUUUCUCUCUCCUGCCACCAUGUGAGAAGGUGUAAGCUUGCUUCCCCUUUGCCUUGUGCCGUGAUUGUGAGUUUCCUGAGGCCUCCUCACCGAAGUGGAACUAUGAGUCAAUUAAAACUCUUUAUUUUAUAAAUUACCCAGUCUUGGGCAGUAUUUUUAUAGCAGUGUGAGAAUGGACCAAUACAGUAUUCCUAUUAUACAGCAUCACUUCCAUCAUUCCCCACUUCCCCUCAAAGGAAACUAUGGUAUGACUUAUGCUAGCAGGACUGUCCAUGUAGUGAAGUCUUGAGAACCAGAUUGGAAGCAAACACUUACUUCUUGAUGUGGAGUGAAACAUCAUAGUGCAGGAGUGAACUGUGUCCUUCUGUGGGAACAGAGAUGACUUCCAAACAUGAGGACAUAGGUUAGGAAGAUGUAGUAAAUAAUUAUUUUUUUAAAAGGACAAGAUAAAUAAAUGCUAAUCAGUUUGAUAGGAAAGAGUGUGAAUGAGAUAUUGCAAUUUAGGUAGAGUAGUCAGAGAAUGCACCAGAAUGAUGAUGAAAUAGUCAUAUCAAGAACAAGGCUGUAAGUCUCAUAUGUAAAGAUAAAGAUAUGUAAUCAUCCUAAUGCAUAAAUGGAAAAUGUGGCUGGAAGUGAGUAAAAGAGUUAAGUAGGGAGGGUAACAAAAAGUUGAUGUUAGGGACGAAGUAGGCAAAGACCAGACAGUAGAAACUUGUGAACCAUGGUAAACAGUUUGGAUUUUAUUCUGAAUUUAAUAGGUAGUUAUCAGAAAAGUUUUUUGUUUGUUUGUGUUUUGACACAGAGUCUCUCUCUGUCACCCAGCCUGGAGUGCAGUGGAGCGAUCUCAGCUCACUGCAAACUCUGCCUCCUGGGUUCGAGGGAUUCUCCUGCCUCAGCCUCCCAAGUAGCUGAAAUUACAGGCACUUGCCACCAUGCCCAUCUAAUUUUUGUAUUUUCAGUAGAAACAGGGUUUCACCAUGUUAGCCAGGCUGGUCUCAAACUCCUGACCUUAAGUUAUCCACCCACCUUGGCCUCCCAAAGUACUGGGAUUACAAGCAUGAGCCUGGCUGGAAAUUUUUUUUUUAAUAUGUAUUUUAUUUACAUUAUCUGAUUAUAUUGGAAGAUAUAUCUGACAUUUUUAGAAGAUGCAAUAUGGAGAGUAGUAGAUCAUAAGGAGUCCAGAACAGAAGUGGAAGACCUUCCCUGCUAUUGCAGGGGUCAGGGCAGAUGAUGCUGGUUAGGUUAAAGGAUGAAGAUAGGACCUGCUAAUGGAUUACACAGUAGGUGUGAGAAAAAGAGGCAAAUUAGGAAUGACAUUUUUUUAGCCUUGACUAAUAAGCUGGAUAGUGCCAUUUGGUUAUUUGAAAUUUACUGUGUUUGGAAACAGACACUUAAAAGAUAUCCAUAGUACUGGCUUUAAAGCAAAAUUCCUACCUAAGGCAGAGUGAUGCACUGCAAAGGGAGAAUGUUAAUAAGUGCUACUGUCUCCACCUGCAGUAAGAAGAAAUCUGAGAUGGUCCCCAUGACUUCCAUCCACAGCACACACACCCUAUAUAAUUCCCUCCUCUUCAGUGUGGCUGAGACCAUUGAGUAUGAUGGGAUAUCACUUCCAUAAUAGGUUGCUAACCACUUAACUUUGAGGGUGGCCCUGACAUAACCAUGUGAGAUAUUCAGAACACAGUGAUAUGGUUUGGCUCUGGGUCCCCACCCAAAUCUCUUGAAUUGUAAUCCCCAUGUUGAGGGAAGGACCUGGUAGGAGGUAAUUGGAUCAUGCGGGCAGUUUUUCUCAUGCUGUUUUUCUGAUAGGGAGCAAGUUCUAAUGAGAUCUGAGUGACAUCAAGGAAGUGGUGACACUUCCUUGCUUACACUCUCUCCUGCAGCCAUGUGACACACGCCUUGCUCCCCGUUUGCCUUCCGCUAUGAUUGUUUCCUGAGGCCUUCCCAGCUAGGCAGGACUCUGAGUCCAUUAAACCUCCUUUCUUUAUAAACUAUCAUAUUUCAGGUAGUAUGAAUACUACAGCAGUGUGAGAAUGGGCUAAUACAGACGGUGAAGUAUCAUCGAGAUUCUUUCUGGCAGGCCUAAACCAAAUAGCCAUGUACUUUGUAAACUGUCUACACUGGAGGCCACAUGACUAUGACCUGGAGGAAGCAUCUAGAAGCCUCUGAGGGGACCGCUGGCCAAAACUCAUCAAGAAAAUAGGGAUCUUAGUCCUACAAACACAAGACACUGAAUUCUGCCAACCAUCUAAAUGAAAUCAGAUGAGAACUCUGAUCUCCAGAUGAGAAAAGAGCCUCAGCUGACCCUUUAAUUUCAAUUUUAUGAGGUCCUAGAAAGACAACCCAAUUAUGCUACCCCUGGACUUUCUGAUCUACAGAAGCCAUGAGAUAAUAAUUUUGUGUUAUUUUAAACUGUUACAUUUUCAGUAAUUCAUUAUAACAUCAAAAGAACACCAGUGUGUGUUUUGGUACUUAGAAGUGGAGUGGUGUUGAUACCAAAAUUUGGGAUCACUUAAAAUUUGGGAACAGCUUUUAAAUCGGGCAGUGAGUGACGGCUGCAAUAAUUUUGAGUAGCAUACUAAGAUAAAAUCUAAAUUGUCUUGAACAAACUGCUAAUAGAAAUUAGGAUUUUAAGGAUGAUGCUUACGAGAGCUAAAAGCAGAAUCUGCAACCCAAAGGAAAGGACGUCCUUCUCAUACAGUGGCAGAAGCCCUGGUGAAACUAUACGAUGUUGAUAGCAGAAUUUUGAAGUGAUGAACUUAGGUAGGGACAUUUCCAAUCAUAGUGUUAAGGGUGCUGCCUGGUUUCCUCUUGCUACUUAUAAUAAAAUCAUGAAGAGAGAGAGAAAUUGAGGGAAGAAAUGUUAAACAAAGAGGGACAAGGAAUAGAUGAUUUUGAAAUUUUCAAGCUUUCUGGAGGGUGAAAGAUUCUAAAAUUCUCAUAUGGCUGCCAGAAACUUGGCAUGGAGAAGAAGCUGUUGUGUCACUGUAUGACCUUUGCUAAAACAUCAAACAAAUCAAAGGUCAAAACAAUCAAUAACACAAAGGGUCUUUGCAAGGUACUAAGGAUAUCCCUCACAGAUCCUCUCAAACAAACAAGUGGCCCUUUAUGAGACUUUAGUGUAUUGUCCCUCAGUCAUCUCAGUGGAAGCCAAAGAUGGAGAAUAAAUUAUCUCAAAAAUCUUAUGGGAUAUGCCUUUGACUACUGAAGUGAAACCAGUGAAAUUCACACAAGAUCUACAAAGUUUUUGAGAACAUUGUUUUAGCAGAAAUAAUCUUGGCUUAGACUGAAAAUACUAAGAGAAGAUGAAGUUAAAGUAGGCUCUUGGAUCCCCAAAUUCUAACAACAGAAGGCUAAUGAAACUCUUCAGCAGCAAACACAUGCUGCUUCUUUAAUAAAGAAAGGAAGAAUGGAUCCAAGAGCCUAGAGGACGAAGUCAAAAGCUAUGGGUGAUUACUCCCAGUCCUUGAAACCUAAUAAAAAAUUCUAAAGCUGUUUUCCUGUGUGGAUUUCAGAACUAGUUUGGACUAAUCACUCUUUCUCGUCUUCCUUUGCCUGCUUUUUCUUUUUCUUUCUUUUUUUUUUUUUUGUUUUUCUUUUUGUUUUCUUUUUUAUUAUUUUAUAUAUAUUUAUUUAUUUAUUAUACUUUAAGUUCUAAGGUACAUGUGCACAGUUUUGCUAUUGUCACCCAGGCUGGAAUGCCGUGGCGUGAUCUCUGCUCACCGCAACCUCCGCCUCCCGGGUACAAGCGAUUCUCCAGCCUCAGCCUCCUGAGUAGCUGGGAUUCCAGGCACCUGCCACCAUGCCCGGCUAAUUUUUUGUAUUUUUAGUAGAGAUGGGGUUUCACUAUGUUGGCCAGGCUGGUCUCAAACUCCUGACCUCAGCUGAUCCACCCACCUCGGCCUCCCAAAGUGCUGGGAUUACAGGCAUGAGCCACUGUGCCCGGCCGCUUUGCCUGCUUUUCCAAGCUCAAAUGUGUUUAACUAUUAUACAAUGCCUACUCCUCUACUGUAUGUCAGGAGUGUUGGGGGGAGAUACCUUACGUCUUUAGGUUCACAUGUCCACAGGUAGGGAGGAAUUGUGCCCAAGAACUGUAUUUAAUGAAUUACACACAGUAGCCUCAUUCACACCUACUUUAGAUAAUGAGAAAUUUAGACUUUCAGCUGAUAAUAUAAUAGAAUGAGACUCUUUGUAAUGCUUGGAGAGGGUGAAUAACAUUUGCUUGUGUGAGGGAUAUGAAUUAUCAGGGUCCAGGAAGUAGACUGUGGCAGGCAGAAUACUAAGAUGACUCUUCCCUGCUAUGGUUGAACAAUUAUGCCCCUCACAAAUUUAUAUGUUGAAAACUUAAUUACUAAUUUGAUGAUAUUACAAGGUGGGUUUUGUUAGGGGUUUACUAGGUCAUGAGGGCAGGCCUCAUGAAUGGGAUUAGUACCAUCCCAACACUUCAGGAGGCCGAGGCGGGCGGAUCACGAGGUCAAGAGAUUGAGACCAUCCUGGCCAACAUGGUGAAACUCCAUCUCUACUAAAAAUACAAAAUUUAACUGGGUGUAGUGGCACACACCUGUAGUCCUAGCUAUUCGGGAAGCUGAGGCAGGAGAAUCACUUGAACCUGGGAGGUGGAGGUUGCAGUGAGCCGAGAUCAUGCCACUUCACUCCAGCCUCGCAAUAGAGUGAAACUCCAUCUCAAAAAAAAAAAAAAAAAAAAAAAAAGCCCAAAGAACUGCCUUGCCUGCUCCACCAUGUGCGGACACAGUGAAAAGGUGCCAUCUAUGAGAUAUCACGUCUGCUGGUGUCUUGAUCUUGGACUUCUCAGCCUUGAGAACUGCAAGAAAUAGAUUGCUGUUGUUUAUAAGUUACUCAAUUUAUGGUAUUUUCUUAUACCAACGUGAAUAAACUAGGACAGCCCCCAGUGUCUCCAUCCCUCAUGGACAAGGUCUGUAUGUCCUCUCCUGAGUGUGAGGAGCACCAGUGAAAAUGAAGAAAUAACACCCCAAUUUGUAUGUUAUAUAAUAUGCGAAAAGGGUUUUUUUUAGAGACAUAAGUAAGAUCCCUAAACAGUUGGCUUUGAGUUACUCAAAAGGGAGAUUAUCCUGAAUGGAUCUGAGCUCCAUUAAAAGAAUCAGGUGAGCUCCUGAAAAGAAGAUGAAGCAUCAUUGAGAUCCUUUUCUGCUAGCCCGAACAUAAACAAAUAGCCAUGUUAUUAACUGCCCAUGGAGGAGAUACAUAGCCAGGGCCUAGUGCCAGCCUCUACAAGUGGGAAGAAAUUCUUUGCUGACAGCCAGAAAGAAGACAGGAAUUUCAUUCCUACACCUAAAAAGAACUGGAUGCUGGGGAAGGGGCCAGUGGACUGGUGGAUUGGAAGAAUAUGCUGAGCUCCACUUGAACUCAGCCAUGGCUGGUACUUUGCUUUCAGUUUUGUGAGACCCUGAGCAGAGAACCCAGUUCCUAGUUAUCCCAAUUUUGGACUUCAGACCUAUAGAGAGUGUGAGAUGGUGAAUUUGUGUUGUUUUAAGCACUAAGUUCAUGCUCAUCUGUUACACAGCAAUUGAAAACUAAUACAACACCAAUGCACGUUUUGAAUGGGAAUUGCCAGUUCCCUGAGUGUCCACAUUGUGGGCUAUUGACCCACACUGGGCCAUCACUAGACUUGAUUGCUGAUGGCAAUCAUCAGGCUGCAUGGCAUCUUUUACUUAGAUUGAAAUUCAUGUGUCUUUUUUUUUUUUUCUGAGACAGAGUCUUGCUCUGUUGCCCAGGCUGGAGUGCAAUGGCACGAUCUUGGCUCACUGCAACCUCCGCCUCCUGAGUUCAAGCAAUUUUCCUGCCUCAGCCCCCUGAGUAGCUGGGAUUACCGGCGUGCACCACCACACCUGGCUAAUUUUUGGAUUUUUAUUAGAGAUAGGGUUUUGCCAUGUUGGCCAGGCUGGUCUUGAACUCCUGACCUCAGGAGUUCCACCCGCCUCGGUCUCCCAAAGUGCUGCGAUUACAGGUGUAAGCCACCACACACAGCUUGAAAUACAUGUGUCUUUUCUAUCUGGAUCAACCAUAUGAGCCUGAAGCUUCCUUUGGCCAUGUUUCCUGCUGGAUGAACAAAAUUCUCACAGAGGAAGAAUAAAUGGCAUCAGUGGCCACGGGGAAGCAUGAAUAAAUGAUCAUAGCGAGUAUGAAGGCCGAUGGUGUCUGGGUUGCUGUUCAAACUCCACGUUUCACCACAGAGAAAAUGUGAGUUUCCCUGAAUCAUAAGUUCUCAUGAAAGCUACCCUGAUAUAUAUCCAUUAAAUUCAAAUUGGGCCUCUGUUACUUGAAACCAAAAGUGCUCUCACUCAUACAACUCAAACUAAAUAUUAUAUAAAUUGUUUAUUAAUGACCAUGAAAACCUACACAGCAAGCAGUCUCAGUGUUUACCUUUUUAAAAAUUUCUUACAUUUAUUUAUUUGCCAGAUGUUCAAAACCUUCUUCUUCAGUAAGAAUUUAAUUCUUCAAUCUCCUCCUCUUUUAUACCUAAGUUGUUUUCUUCCCUGAAAAAUCUUCCUGUAUCAUUAAACUGUCUUUUACCUGCCCUUUUUUUCUUCUGUUUCUAGGGAAGAUUCCAGUGUUCUAGUGAAGACUGUUUUCAGACUAAUCACAUCGCCGUUAUCCAUUAGAAUAAAUGACUUCUAUUGCCUCUGGGGCCGCCAGUCUCAUUCACUCCUCUAUUUCACCCGUUUUCAAGCUUUCUCAUUCCACUCGCAUUUCCUUUCUGUCCCAGAAUAUCCUCAGAUCUUUUGUACGCCUUGCAUCAAUUCUUUAAAGCCACAUCUGUCUCUCUUCUCUUUAUUGCAGUCACUUCUAUCAAAUUAUCUUCUCUCGCUACUUAUUUUCUCAAUGCAUAUUCCUAUCUGUAUCAAUUAGAGUCCAGUCAGGCAACCAUAUCUAUCAAGUUAUUGGAAGGAGAGAAUUUGAUAUAAAAAAAUCUUACCCCAAUGUAUAAAAGUGUUACUAAAGGAUAAACAAAAAACUGAUGUAGCUUGGAAAUUAUUGCUGCGGGAAGCAACUGUCAUUCCUAGGGCUGAAGGAAGAUUCUGGAAAUAUUAAAUCUUAAAAACGUAGGAAGUUACUCAGAUCUCUGCAGAGACUAAAGUAAGACCCCUGAGGAAGGAACGCCAGUUCAGCUGGUACUGGUGUAUCUGAGUUUGGGAAGGGUCCUGAGGAAGGCAGCACUGUUUAGAUGGCUCCUGAGAGGCAGCUGCCAUGAAGCUGGUGGGGCACAUUUGGGAAAAACUGGUAAAUGGAUUCAGCUUCUGCCACAAAAUGAGUCACCUGCUGAAGGUGUGAGAAGACCCUAUUGGAGUGAGGCUCACAGGAAUUACAAGCCCAGGAGAAGCCCCCAGUGAGCAGACAGGAAGAAGCAAGCUCCCUUUCCUCUCCCAGCCACACAACCUCCUUUCAAGGCCCCGCGUGGGCAAAUUUGUGGUGUUCAGGAUCCCAGUUCUACCAUCACAAAGCCAAUCUAGAAGGCCGAGUUGGGUGCUGAACGACCAUAGCUUAAAUCUAUUGCAUUUUAGCUUUGGUGCUUAUACUUCUGUAACAAUACCUUUUUAAUUAUGUUUAUUAUUUUAAGAGAUCGCAUAAACUCACAUAGUCUAAAACCAGUGACAUCUUACCUGAAUUUUUUUCUUAUGUGACUACUGAUAUUGAAUGAGUCCAUAAUUGUCCUCUCUGAUACUUGACUCUUGGUUUUUCUAGUAUAUACCUAGGUAUUAGCUCUCUAGGUUCAUAAUUGAUUUACCAUUGUCUUUUACAACUUUAAUGUAUAAUAUAUACUUAUUCUUUCAACAAAUAUUAAUAUUAACAAACAUUAAUUCAAAGUCUAUCAUGGACUAGCCGCUGUGCUAUUUGACACAUAGAAAAUGAUCAAGAUUAAUAUAGUUCUGUCCUUGUGGGUUUUAUCUGAAAAAAAUAUAUCAAUCAUUUUUCAAUGAUUAUAUUCAAUGAGGACUGAAAAGCUAAAGCAUAGUGCCGGUUGAGAAAUGGUAGACACACACAUAUAAAUAUGCAUGUCUAUAUAGACAUAUUUCUACAUGUGUCUAUAUAGACAUAUAUAAGUAUGUGUAUAUUUACAAAUAGAUGUUUAUUUACAUAUAUUUCAGGACAGCCUUUGUGAAUGUGCAUAGGAGCAGGUUGUAACAAAAUUAUCUGACUUACAUUUGAGGAAUAG
rnacentral:lncRNA from 1 species